rnacentral:rRNA from 1 species
CACGUAGGGGGCGAGCGUUGCCCGGAUUUACUGGGCGUAAAGCGCGCGUAGGCGGUUGCCUAAGCGGAGAGUGAAAUACCACGGCUCAACCGUGGGCACGCUCUUCGAACUGGGCGACUUGAGUGUGGGAGGGGGAAGCGGAAUUCCUGGUGUAGCGGUGAAAUGCGUUGAUAUCAGGAGGAACACCGAUGGCGAAGGCAGCUUCCUGGCCUACUACUGACGCUGAGGCGCGAAAGCGUGGGGAG